GAAAAAAAGAACAUACCACGUGAGCUUCCAAGUUCUACGCAGAAGAGGAAGUCGAGUAUGAGUAGGAGUCCAAGUUGAAAUAGGUUUUGGAUUCAAGUCCAAAUCUAUAAAUAGGGCAAUAUUUUCUUUUGAGAAACUUGCGCACUUAAACAGAGAGUUACAAGCAUAAUACAAUCAAAUAGAGGGAGUUCAUAUUUGAGUGAUUUCUGAUUCCGAAGUGUAGCCAACGCAAGAAAACAAGAAUUGAAGAACUGAUUCAUAGGCUUAUGUUUUGUAGUUCUUAAGUCAAGUUUGGUUGUAUUGAGUUUUU
rnacentral:lncRNA from 1 species